UUUUAUAAAAUUCUGUUCUUUGGCAAAAGUGUCGUUCGGUGGUUUACUUUCACUUUAUUAGUAAAGACGGUGACAGUAAUUUAUAUAUAUAUAUAU
rnacentral:sRNA from 1 species